rnacentral:rRNA from 1 species
UCAGACGAUGCGUCAUGCAUAUCAAUAAGCGGAGGAAAAGAAACUAACAAGGAUUCCCCUAGUAACGGCGAGUGAAGCGGGAAGAGCUCAAAUUUGAAAUCUUAAAGGGUUUCCCUUUACGAAUUGUAGUUUAAAGAAGUGUUUUCUGUUGAGGUUUUGGUAAAAGUUCUUUGGAAUAGGACAUCAUAGAGGGUGAGAAUCCCGUAUUUGACCUUUACUUUCAACUUUGUGAUACACUUUCAAAGAGUCGGAUUGUUUGGGAAUGCAGUCCAAAAUGGGUGGUAAAUUUCAUCUAAAGCUAAAUAUUGGCGAGAGACCGAUAGCGAACAAGUACCGUGAGGGAAAGAUGAAAAGAACUUUGAAAAGAGAGUUAAACAGUACGUGAAAUUGUCAAAAGGGAAGCGUUUGACACCAGUGUUGUUUUUCUGAAAAUCAAUUAAAGAACUGUUUAUGCUAAGCUGUUUAGACUUUAUCAGCUAUCUGUUUAGUUUUGAGCUUUUCUUUAAUGCACUUUUCAGUUAACAAGUCAACAUCAAUUUCUUUUGCUGUAAAAAAGCUUGAGGAAGGUGGCUUGAGAUUCGUCUUAAGUGUUUAUAGCCUCUUGCCUAUGCAGUCGGAGAGAUUGAGGUCUGCAGCGUAGAUCCUUCGGGGCUAAAUGCAUUUGUGCUAAGUUAUAGCAUUUUAUAGACAACUUGUUGACUAUGAUUUGUCUUGUAGCUUACUCGCUCAUGUUAUUUUACCUACGCUUAGGAUGUUGAAUCUGUGCGAGACUAC